rnacentral:rRNA from 1 species
CAGCUUGUUGGUGAGGUAAUGGCUCACCAAGGCGACGACGGGUAGCCGGCCUGAGAGGGUGACCGGCCACACUGGGACUGAGACACGGCCCAGACUCCUACGGGAGGCAGCAGUGGGGAAUAUUGCACAAUGGGCGCAAGCCUGAUGCAGCAACGCCGCGUGAGGGAUGACGGCCUUCGGGUUGUAAACCUCUUUUAGUAGGGAAGAAGCCUUCGGGUGACGGUACCUGCAGAAAAAGCACCGGCUAACUACGUGCCAGCAGCCGCGGUAAUACGUAGGGUGCAAGCGUUGUCCGGAAUUAUUGGGCGUAAAGAGCUCGUAGGCGGCUUGUCGCGUCUGCUGUGAAAACCCGAGGCUCAACCUCGGGCCUGCAGUGGGUACGGGCAAGCUAGAGUGCGGUAGGGGAGAUUGGAAUUCCUGGUGUAGCGGUGGAAUGCGCAGAUAUCAGGAGGAACACCGAUGGCGAAGGCAGAUCUCUGGGCCGUAACUGACGCUGAGGAGCGAAAGCAUGGGGAGCGAACAGGAUUAGAUACCCUGGUAGUCCAUGCCGU